rnacentral:rRNA from 1 species
UCUUUUAAUUGGAGGCUUGUAUGAAUGGUUGGAUGAGGGAUUAUCUUUCUUUCUUUUAUUUUAAAGAACUUAAUUAUUAAGUUAAAAAGCUUAAAUAAGCUUGUGGGACGAGAAGACCCUAUAGAAUUUUAUUAAUAAUUAUUAUUAUUAUAAUUAGUAAAAUAUUAAUACUAGUAAUGAUUAUUAAUUAUGUUGGGGUGAUAGAGAAAUAUAAAUAACUUUCUUUUAUAUAAUUCAAUAAUUAUUGAAUAAUUGAUCCUAUAUUAUAGAUUAUAAGAUUAAAUUACCUUAGGGAUAACAGCGUAAUUUCUUUGGAGAGCUCUUAUUGAUAAUGAAGUUUGCGACCUCGAUGUUGG